CUAGAAGCAACAACUUCAGAUUUUAGGUCACUAGUCUCCCCAACAAUAUCCUCAUCAGAACCAUAUAAUGACUCAUCUGUAUCAUCAUCAUCAUCUUCAGAAAUAGCCUCAUACUCUUUAUCACUCUCAGUACUUAACUUAUCACCCUUAGCAUUACCCUGGCAUCACCCUUAGAAUCAGUUGCUAGAUGAAAGGUAUAGAAGUCACCUUCUUCUCUAAAAUCUUCAGUUGCAGAAGAAGUUUCAUUAGAAGAACUUUCAACACACCGCUAUUUAUAUCACUGUUAGGUGAUUUUGU
rnacentral:lncRNA from 1 species